UGCAAUAUUCCAGAUGUGGUCUUACCAUUCAACUGUAACAAUAUCCCCACUCUAAACUCAGCCCCUUUGGAAUAAGGGCCAAUGUGCUAAUUGCCCUAAAGGGCCUGUCCCGCUUUCACAACCUUUUUUUACACGUGGACAUUUUUCAUCUGGUUAGAAAAAACACCUCGACCUACUUGAUGCCACGAGUACCUACGACUAGCAUCACAACCUACCUACAACGUCCUACGACCUCGUGACGACCAUGCUGCGAGUACGAGUCAAGGCAAACUCAGCAGAGGUCGUGAAAGUGGGACAGGCCCUUAACUACUUGUACCCGCCUGCUAACUUUUAGUUUCAUACAUUGGAACCGAUCCCUCUGAACUUCCCACUCUCUGCUUAGACAAUUGGCUGUUAAAUUACCGUGGACAUUUUUCACUGAAUCCAUUUCAUCUCGUCAAACUUUGUUUUAAAUAACUUAUUUUAAUGUAUUUGGCACUAGCUGUUGUAUUUCAUUUGGGAUCUGUUUAGUUACCUUCAAGCACCCAAGGACAUACAUUCUACAAUGUAUUUACAGGAUAUUUGCUUUUGCAUAAAUAAGCUUUUGCCACCUUUACUCGGUGAACCAUUCACUUUCUACACUACCAUCCAACCCAAUACAUCACCUAUCCAUGUUCUCCAGAGAUGCUGCCUGACACACCGAGUUAUUCCAGCAAUGUCUCUACCUUGAGCUCGAGUUUCCUCACUGGAUUGUUUUUUUUUGAGUCUGGCAGGCAAUGCAAAAGCAUUCAGCCAAUUUCCAAACAUACAGCAGCAUGCCUCUAAUGGGUGCCAAGUGAAGCACUUGUUACAUGGACCAAGGGGUGCAAUCCAAACAAUGUACUUUCGUGGGCACAAUAGGAUAGUCAGUUUUUGAUUCACAUUUGAGUUUAAAUACAAUCAUCUACAAUGUUGAGCUUGCUCUGCCAUUAAGGUCACAGCUGAUAGAAGUAUGGGUUGUUUUUUUUACCCAGCCACCUCAAUCCCAGAAAACAAGUCUAACGCAAAGCAACCUUCUUCAUUAAACCUCUGUAUUGGUUUCAAUGUAUUACACAUCUUAUGUAGAGUAUAUCACUGCAGUAGAUAAUACUCCAGUCUCAUUCACGCCCUAUGUAUUGUAUUGUAUUCAAGAGACCCACCCAUUACAAAAAGGCAACUUUAAUUAAUUCAUGACCCGAGGCAGCAUGGUGGCACAGCAGAAUUGCUCCCUUACAGUGCCACAGGCCAGGGUUAGAGCCUGACUAUGGGUGGUUUGUACGUUCACCCCGGGAACACCUCGGGCUUCCCUACACUCCAGUGGUUUGGGGGGAAAAAAUAAUGUAAAUUGACCCCCGUGUUGGAUUGUGUACGGAGAUCGCUGGUUGGCAAGGGCUCAGUGGGCCAAAGGGCCCGUUUCAGAGCUGCCAUGUUGUCAGAGCAUUUCAGUAUUCUAGUACCUGAAAAAUCAGUAUUUUUCAGGACCAAGAUAAACCUAACGGUAGGUUAAAUGCCUGCUAAACUUUAUUAUACCUCUUAAGUGUCUACUCCUUCUUCCUCCCCUCCGCGCUCUCUAAAGGACUUACCGUACAAUGUGGCAGCCGUUUACUUUCCUCUUCAUUGCACAGCGCUCACCCACUUUCCCAGGCCCCCGUCUUCAUGAUGUGUUUGUGUGUGUGCAGUCAGCCGAUCCAGCUCGCGGUUUCAACGCCGACGGUCGAUGCAGCUCGAGGCUUUCCAGGCAAGUGCCCUCGAGCUUGAAGGUCGAAGACACUACUUAACUCGAUUAGGUCGCCCAAGUGGGACAGCCCCUUUAUGCAUUAAUGCCAUCUCUUUGUAUACUGCUGUUUGAAUGGCCGCUUCCUGCUUUUAGCACCAGAUACAGAAGUCAUUUUGGAAGCCUCCCUCUCGCCACCCCUUCCUCUUUUUCCUCCCUCCCUCUCCCUUGAGCCCACCCACCAUUCUGCAAAAUCAAGGCCAAUCCCACUGGUAACUUUUCACCACUAGGCUUAUCCAGAAUUCUACCACUGCCUGAAAAAUAACCAAUGGCUCAACUUCCACUGAGAAAGAGAAUUCCAAAGACUAAUUGUAAUACGAGAAUUUUCCCGAAGUCUGACCCAUAGUGCUAUGUGUAAAGCCUAUAGCGCGCUAUGUUUAGAACCCAAAGCACUGUAGUUGACAAUUCUUUUCUUAAAUUCACACGCAUUAAACGGACAGCGCUCUGUUUAAACCUGGAGCGGGACAGGCAGAUCAAAGUUUACAAAAAUUGUCACCCAGAUCUUGAAAUUUAAAAUACUAAUAGAUUUAUUCUGCUAUAAUUUUUAGAGGCACAGUAUGACUUUUUAUAUCCGUGCAUUUUUUAAGCAGCAAGAUCUUAAGUCAAUUUCAUUGGGUUAUUACUUUUCAAUUGGCGAGUGGUACGUUAAAGAAACAGGAAGUCGGGUCGACUUAAAAAAAAAACGUAUUUAACAACACAAAA